rnacentral:rRNA from 1 species
AUUGAACGCUGGCGGCAGGCCUAAUACAUGCAAGUAGGACGCAGUUGCGAACGGGUGAGUAACGCGUAGGUAACUACCUAUUAGCGGGGGAUAACUAUUGGAAACGAUAGCUAAUACCGCAUACUAGUAGAUGGACGUGCGUUGUAUUAGCUAGUAGGUAGGGUAAUGGCCUACCUAGGCAACGAUACAUAGCCGAGCUGGGGAGGUGGUCGGCCAACAUGGGAAUGGGGAACGGCCCAGACUCCUAAGGGGAGGAAGAAGAGGGGAACAUCGGAAAUUGGGGGAAACCUGGCCGAGGAACGGCGGGUGAGGGGAGGAAGGUUUCGGGUCGGAAAACUCUGUUAAGAAGGAAGCGGUACUUAAACAGAAAGGGACGGCUAACUACGUGCCAGCAGCCGCGGUAAUAC